rnacentral:lncRNA from 1 species
UCCUUCUUUGACACUUUUCACUUCAAUAAUCAACAUUUUUCAUUUUUCCAAUUAGGCAUUCCAAACCACGUGACCACAUCUGCUUUAUCCAUAAGAGCUAAUGGUUGUUUCAGUUGUGUUUUUGCUAGUUUAUGUGUAUGUUCGUAAAUUAUUUAUAUUUUGAGGUGUUGUCGAGUUAUUUUUGAUUGUCCACACAUUCAUUUAAUAAUGCAGAGUGAUUAUAUGAAGAAGCUAUUAUUGGAAAAACGAGAUGUUGGAGAGAGGUAUGAGAUGAAGUUGAAACUAAUUCAAGAUGUGGAUCCUUUCACACUCACAAGUGAUGAUUUGGAUUAUUCUCUGAAUGACAUUCCACCAGUAACAAACAUGAAUAUUGUCACAUAUUUACCAGAAUGUCAUCGUCAUUUCAUCCAGGUUUGGAGACCAGCUACCCUACCCUUUUGGCUGAUUGUUGGUCUUGGGAGGGACCAAUGGGUUCAUGACUGAUUGAGGUUCAUAACUGAUUGGUCACAUAUUUAGUGUUGACACAUAGUUUUUAUACCAAUGAACAAAUGAAAGCCUUCAAGAGUCUUGGAGCUCAUAAGUAUUUUACCUCUGGAUUUGUUUUGAAAGCUGGGACGAAAGUUAUAAAUGAUUUCUACGUAUUGGUUGGAAAGGUAAAGCAUUCCCAGAGAGCAAAUGCAAAACCUCUUGAUGUUUGAUGCAUUGUAACUAAGGACGGGUCAAUAGCUACAGCGAACUGUACUUGUAUGGCAGGUGCCAGUGAAGUUUGUAGUCAUGUUGGUGCCAUACUGUUUGCUGCUGAAUAUGCAUAUCAAAAAAGAAUUCAUCUUCUUGCACUGAUUUUGGUGCCUUGUGGCCUAUUCCAUGUUUAUCUACGGUAGUGCCAAUUGAGCCUCUAAGCAAAAUGGACUUUGGACAAAUUGCAGUACCUUCAACAAUGCAACAAAAGACAGCAGUGCCACAGAUGACUGAAUCCGAUAUUGUCAAUUUACUUACAAGGAUUGAGACUAUUGGCAAAAGUGCAAGUUUAAUGAGGAUUGUUGAGCCAUUUGCUAAUAAAAUUUCUGGGACUGUAAAUGUGAAGCUUGCAUUUUCAUUGGAUAUAUACCAACAAAAUUACAAAUUCAAAACAUAUAUUGAAUUGAUGCAGAUAUGAAAAUCUAUCAAUUUAUGUUUUAAAUAAGAACAGUGCAACGAAAUUGAGAAAAUCACUAGGAAACAACAUGCUACUAAUAAUUAGUAUUUACAUAGGGCUGGAAGAAUAACAGCUUCAAAAUUUAAAUCCGUUUGUAGAACAAAUAAAGAGUCACCUUCUCACUCACUAGUUAAAAGCAUAUGUUAUCCAAUUAAAAUAUUGUUUAGUUCUGAAGCUACUACUUGGGGGUUUAAACCAUGAAAAAAUUGUUGUCAAAAAAUAUAAGGAAAGUAUGGAAGAAAAUCAUAGAUCCUUUAUUAUAAAUGAUGUAGGGUUGAUGGUAAAUCCAAAGUGUCCUCAACUGGGUGCAUCGCCAGAUAGAAUAGUAUUUUGUGAAUGUUGUCUGGGCGGUUGCUUGGAAAUUGAAUGUCCUUAUCUGCUCUCUGUAAAUAAUAUACAAGAUAUACGUGAAUAUGUGAAGUGUAAAAAUUCUUGUUUAACUUUGGAAAAUGAUAAUGUGACUUUGAACCGAAGCCCUUCUUAUUAUUAUCAAGUACAGAUGCAAAUGUUUGUAUCUGGUCUAUUGUAUUGUGACUUUGUCAUUUGGUCUCCAAAUAUUUUAUUCCAAAAACGUAUUCUCCGGGAUUUGGAUUUUUGGAACAAAAAUAGUGAAAUUGCUCUUCAAUUUCAUUCAGAAGUGAUUAUGCCAGAACUUCUAGGCAGAUACUUCACAAAGAAAGGGGGAACUGUCAGACUAGCCCACUGGUGUAUAUGUAAGGGAGUUGAUGAUGGUACACCAAUGAUUAGGUGUGAAAAUGAUCUGUGUGAAACUCAGUGGUUCCAUUUUGAAUGUAUUGGUUUGGUAGUUUUACAAAACAACGUUUGGUAUUGUAGUAAUU